rnacentral:rRNA from 1 species
UACGUAGGGGGCGAGCGUUGUCCGGAUUUAUUGGGCGUAAAGAGCGUGUAGGCGGUUCGGCAAGUCUGUCGUGAAAUCCUGAGGCUCAACCUCGGACGUGCGAUGGAUACUGCCGGGCUAGAGGAUGGUAGAGGCGAGUGGAAUUCCCGGUGUAGCGGUGAAAUGCGCAGAUAUCGGGAGGAACACCAGUAGCGAAGGCGGCUCGCUGGGCCAUUCCUGACGCUGAGACGCGAAAGCUAGGGGAGCGAACAGG